rnacentral:rRNA from 1 species
AGAGUUUGAUCAUGGCUCAGAAUCAACGCUGGCGGCGUGCCUAACACAUGCAAGUCGAACGCGAAAGUCCCGCAAGGGACCGGUAGAGUGGCAAACGGGUGAGUAACACGUGGGUGACCUGCCUUCGAGUGGGGGAUAACGUCCCGAAAGGGACGCUAAUACCGCAUGACAUCCUGCUUUCGAAGAAGCGGAGAUCAAAGCUGGGGAUCGCAAGACCUGGCGCUUGAAGAGGGGCCCGCGUCCGAUUAGCUAGUUGGUGGGGUAAUGGCUCACCAAGGCUCCGAUCGGUAUCCGGCCUGAGAGGGCGGACGGACACACUGGGACUGAGACACAGCCCAGACUCCUACGGGAGGCAGCAGUGGGGAAUUGUUCGCAAUGGGCGCAAGCCUGACGACGCAACGCCGCGUGGAGGAUGAAGAUCUUCGGGUCGUAAACUCCUUUCGAUCGAGACGAACGGCCCUUGGGUUAAUAGCCUGAGGGAGUGACGGUACCGAGAGAAGAAGCCCCGGCUAACUACGUGCCAGCCGCCGCGGUAAUAC